AUGAAGGCUGCAGGGCGGGAUCCUUUGCCGCGGCGGAGUCCAAGAUGGCGGCGUGCGGUUCCCCUGUGUGAAACGAGUGCGGGGCGGCGGGUUAAUCAGCUCCGCGCAGACGACCUCCGACGACCCGUAACAAUGAAGGGGAAAGAGCGCUCUCCAGUCAAGGCUAAACGCUCCCGUGGUGGUGAGGACACGACUUCCCGCGGGGAGCGGAGCAAGAAGUUAGGGGGCUCUGGUGGCAGCAAUGGGAGCAGCAGCGGAAAGACCGACAGCGGCGGCGGGUCGCGGCGGAGUCUUCAUCUGGACAAGUCGAGCAGCCGAGGUGGUAGCCGCGAGUAUGACACUGGUGGGGGUAGCUCCAGUAGCCGCUUGCAUGGUUACAGCUCCCCAAGCACCAAAAAUUCCUCGGGCGGGGGCGAGUCGCGCAGCAGCUCCCGGGGUGGAGGCGGGGAGUCACGUUCCUCUGGGGCCGCCUCAGCUCCUGGCGGCGGAGAUGGCGGGGAAUACAAGACCCUAAAGAUAAGCGAGUUGGGGUCUCAGCUGAGUGACGAAGCAGUGGAGGACGGACUGUUUCACGAGUUCAAACGCUUCGGUGAUGUAAGUGUCAAAAUCAGCCAUCUCUCGGGUUCUGGCAGCGGGGAUGAGCGGGUAGCCUUUGUGAACUUCCGGCGGCCAGAGGACGCGCGGGCGGCCAAGCAUGCCAGAGGCCGCCUGGUGCUCUAUGACCGGCCUCUGAAGAUAGAAGCUGUGUAUGUGAGCCGGCGCCGCAGCCGCUCCCCUUUAGACAAAGAUACUUAUCCUCCGUCAGCCAGCGUGGUCGGGGCCUCUGUAGGUGGUCACCGGCACCCCCCUGGAGGCGGUGGUGGAGGCCAGAGAUCACUUUCCCCUGGUGGCGCUGCCUUGGGAUACAGAGACUACCGGUUGCAGCAGUUGGCUCUUGGCCGCCUUCCCCCUCCACCUCCGCCACCAUUGCCCCGAGAGCUGGAGAGAGAGCGAGACUACCCGUUCUAUGAGAGAGUGCGCCCAGCAUACAGCCUUGAGCCAAGAGUGGGAGCUGGAGCAGGUGCUGCUCCUUUCAGAGAAGUGGAUGAGAUUUCACCCGAGGAUGAUCAGCGAGCUAACCGGACGCUUUUCUUGGGCAACCUGGACAUCACUGUGACAGAGAGUGAUCUAAGAAGGGCUUUUGAUCGAUUCGGAGUCAUCACAGAAGUAGAUAUCAAAAGGCCUUCUCGCGGCCAGACCAGUACCUAUGGCUUUCUCAAAUUUGAGAACCUAGACAUGUCUCACCGGGCCAAACUAGCAAUGUCUGGAAAAAUUAUAAUUCGGAAUCCUAUCAAGAUUGGUUAUGGUAAAGCUACACCCACCACCCGCCUCUGGGUAGGUGGCCUGGGACCUUGGGUGCCUCUGGCUGCCCUGGCACGAGAGUUUGACCGAUUUGGCACCAUACGUACCAUAGACUACCGAAAAGGUGAUAGUUGGGCGUAUAUACAGUAUGAAAGCUUGGAUGCAGCUCAUGCUGCCUGGACCCAUAUGCGGGGCUUCCCACUUGGUGGCCCAGAUCGUCGCCUUAGAGUAGACUUUGCAGACACAGAACAUCGUUACCAGCAGCAAUAUCUGCAGCCUCUGCCCUUGACUCAUUAUGAAUUGGUGACAGAUACUUUUGGACAUCGGGCACCUGAUCCUUUGAGGGGUGCUAGGGAUAGGACACCACCCUUACUGUACAGAGAUCGUGAUAGGGACCUUUACCCUGACUCUGAUUGGGUACCACCCCCACCCCCAGUUCGAGAACGCAGCACUCGGACUGCAGCUACUGCUGUGCCUGCUUAUGAACCACUGGAUAGCCUGGAUCGCAGGCGGGAUGGCUGGUCCUUGGACCGGGACAGAGGUGAUCGAGAUCUGCCCAGCAGCAGAGACCAGCCUAGGAAGCGAAGGCUGCCUGAGGAGAGUGGAGGACGGCAUCUGGAUAGGUCCCCUGAGAGCGACCGUCCACGAAAACGUCAUUGUGCUCCUUCUCCUGACCGCAGUCCAGAAUUGAGCAGUAGCCGGGAUCGCUACAACAGUGACAAUGACCGAUCUUCUCGUCUUCUUCUCUUGGAAAGGCCCUCUCCUAUCAGAGACAGACGAGGUAGUUUGGAGAAGAGCCAAGGUGACAAGCGAGAUCGUAAAAACUCUGCAUCAGCUGAACGGGAUAGAAAGCACCGGACAACUGCUUCCACUGAGGGAAAAAGCCCUUUGAAAAAAGAAGACCGAUCUGAUGGGACUGCACCCAGCAGCAGCACUGCUUCCUCAAAGCUGAAGUCCCCUGCCCAGAAACAGGAUGGGGGGACAGCCCCUGCAACAGCAGCCUCUCCCAAACUCUGUUUGGCCUGGCAGGGUAUGCUUCUACUGAAGAACAGCAACUUUCCUUCCAACAUGCAUCUGUUGCAGGGUGACCUCCAAGUGGCUAGUAGUCUUCUUGUGGAGGGCUCAACGGGAGGCAAAGUGGCCCAGCUCAAGAUCACUCAGCGCCUCCGUUUGGACCAACCCAAGUUGGAUGAAGUAACUCGACGCAUCAAAGUGGCAGGGCCCAAUGGUUAUGCCAUUCUUCUGGCAGUGCCUGGAAGUUCUGACAGCCGGUCCUCCUCUUCUUCAGCCACAUCAGACACUGCCACAUCUACUCAGAGGCCACUUAGGAACCUUGUGUCCUAUUUAAAGCAAAAGCAAGCAGCUGGAGUGAUCAGCCUCCCUGUGGGGGGCAACAAAGACAAGGAAAACACCGGGGUCCUUCAUGCCUUCCCACCUUGUGAGUUCUCCCAGCAGUUCCUGGAUUCCCCUGCCAAGGCACUGGCCAAAUCUGAAGAAGAUUACCUGGUCAUGAUCAUUGUCCGUGGUGUCUAAUGCAUGUCAGCACCAAAGCCUCAUCACUACUGUGUUAUCCUUUUUGAUUUUCAUUGUGCAUUUAUAAAUUUUUUUUUUUUAUUUGGAGAUUUUUGUGUUUUUGUUUUUAAACUGGAAAAACGAGCCAUUUUGAGAGAAGGAAGGAACUAGGCUUUGAGCACAAAGGUCCUUGGUGUGCCUGUAGGGAAAAUAUCUGAAAUCCUACAAACAAGACUUUUGGGUGCUUUUUGCUUUUGAAAAGCAGUUCUUGGCAUGGAGUAGACACCUUUUCAGAAACUAAUCAAAACUGGUGAACAGUGGAUGAAGAUACGGAAUUCAAAGCUCUAAUGGACCUUUUUGAAGAGAAGUUGUGGCUUAUGUGGAGUUUACAUGGGCCUCUGAUGGAAGAAAUCUAAUCUGUUUAGUAUUUGUGCAUUUUACUAAAAUGGCAGCUUAAAGUUGUGUAUCUGCUAUUGUGAUGCCAAUGCCGGUGUUUUAAGUGGAAAAAAAAUGACCUCUUUGCUUUGUGCUGUGUACACAAGAUUUCUGGAAAAGUAAAGAAAAACCCUUUUUAUGGCUCACACAGCUUAAAAGUAGCUGUCACUCAAACGUGCGCUCACAGUUGAGCUGCUUUUGUUUUAUUCUAAAUAAAUUGUUUCUUUUGAGGAAAGUGUUUUUCUGCCUGGAAGUGAAUUGACGGCAAACCUUUGACCCCUUUGUUUGCAGCCAAGGGGGUACUUGCUGCUGCUCAGAUCUUGUAUGUCUUGAGCAAGAAGCAGGGAGACCAUCAAUUUCAUGUUGACUAUCACGGUGUGUCAAUUCUGAAGGAUCACUAGUGUUACUGUGACCCCCUUUGUUUGCAGUGAAGGGGAUCAUUUGCUUCUCGGUCCUCAACGUGAUGAGGAAAUGGUGCUGUUGGCUGGCACACAAGAAGCCGGGGCAAGCACCCUAAGCCUCACCACAGUGCACGAGUCGGGGGCUUUGCUGGUUUGAAGAGCCGGAGUUGCUGAAAUUUAAGUUUUGAUUUAUUUUGUUCACCCAUCACGUUUGGCCUUAGUUUCAUUUUUAAUUUGAAGAAAAGUUUGAAAUUGCUUUAUCUUGCACUUAACAUUUGCACCAAAUUGCCAAAAGAAGGAGAAAUGCUCCGUUUGCUUUUUAAAUGUU